rnacentral:rRNA from 1 species
CUACGUGCCAGCAGCCGCGGUAAUACGUAGGUCCCGAGCGUUGUCCGGAUUUAUUGGGCGUAAAGCGAGCGCAGGCGGUUAGAUAAGUCUGAAGUUAAAGGCUGUGGCUUAACCAUAGUACGCUUUGGAAACUGUUUAACUUGAGUGCAAGAGGGGAGAGUGGAAUUCCUGGUGUAGCGGUGGAAUGCGCAGAUAUCAGGAGGAACACCGAUGGCGAAGGCAGGUCUCUGGGCUGUAACUGACGCUGAGAAGCGAAAGCAUGGGGAGCGAACAGGAUUAGAUACCCUGGUAGUCCAUGCCGUAAACGUUGGGCACUAGGUGUGGGGGACAUUCCACGUUUUCCGCGCCGUAGCUAACGCAUUAAGUGCCCCGCCUGGGGAGUACGGCCGCAAGGCUAAAACUCAAAGAAAUUGACGGGGGCCCGCACAAGCGGCGGAGCAUGCGGAUUAAUUCGAUGCAACGCGAAGAACCUUACCAAGGCUUGACAU